UACGGGGGGGGCAAGCGUUGUUCGGAAUUACUGGGCGUAAAGGGCUCGUAGGCGGCCAGCUAAGUCGGACGUGAAAUCCCUCAGCUUAACUGGGGAACUGCGUCCGAUACUGGAUGGCUUGGAUUUGGGAGAGGGAUGCGGAAUUCCUGGUGUAGCGGUGAAAUGCGCAGAUAUCAGGAGGAACACCGGUGGCGAAGGCGGGUCUCUGGGCCGAUACUGACGCUGAGGAGCGAAAGCGUGGGGAGCGAACAGG
rnacentral:rRNA from 1 species